UACAGAGGUCUCAAGCGUUGUUCGGAUUCAUUGGGCGUAAAGGGUGCGUAGGUGGUGAUGCAAGUCUGGUGUGAAAUUCGGAGCUUAACUCCGAAACUGCAUUCGAUACUGCGGUGCUUGAGGACUGGAGAGGAGACUGGAAUUCGAUGGUGUAGCAGUGAAAUGCGUAGAGAUCAUGAGGAAGACCAGUGGCGAAGGCGGGUCUCUGGACAGUUCCUGACACUGAGACACGAAGGCCCAGGGGAGCAAACGGG
rnacentral:rRNA from 1 species